rnacentral:rRNA from 1 species
UACGGAGGGGGCGAGCGUUGUUCGGAAUCAUUGGGCGUAAAGGGCGCGUAGGCGGCCUGAUCAAGUCGGAUGUGAAAUCCCUCGGCUCAACCGAGGAACUGCACCCGAUACUGGUUGGCUAGAGUCCGGGAGGGGGUAGCGGAAUUCCCAGUGUAGCGGUGAAAUGCGUAGAUAUUGGGAAGAACACCGGUGGCGAAGGUGGCUACCUGGACCGGUACUGACGCUGAGGCGCGAAAGCCAGGGGAGCGAAUGGG